CAAACGUUCACCGUUUCAGUAAUGAAAUGGUAUAAUAGAGUAACUAUAUUUAUUUUUAUAUCUGGACACACAUUUCUCUGGAAUACCAUAGGGCACACCCGGAAAUCUUCUAGGGCGCAUCAGUGCGCCCUGGCACACACUUUGAGAACCACUGGUCUAAACUGUAUUCUUACAUCAAAUCAUUUACUGAAUUUGACAGUUUUCUCUUGGCUAUAUCCAUGUAAUCUCUCUACUUUUUGAGUAACUGUUGUAAACCUUGACCCAGAAAGAAUUUUAAAUAAAUUUUCUCUUAGCAUUUUGUCUUAUUCUUUUUCUACAUCAGUAAAGGAAGCAUAUACUAGCAAUAUUUUUACCAAA
rnacentral:lncRNA from 1 species